rnacentral:tRNA from 2 species
GCCGGCGUACUCCAACAGGCAGAGAGACGGCGCUUAGAACGCCGCCAGUGCGGGUUCGAAUCCCGCCGCCGGCA